GUGUCCAUUGUCUAAUGGAUAGGACAAAGGUCUUCUAAACCUUUGGUAUCGAUUCAAAUCCUUUUGGAUGCA
rfam:Gossypium hirsutum cultivar TM-1 chromosome 12, whole genome shotgun sequence